rnacentral:rRNA from 1 species
GUCCACGCCGUAAACGAUGUCAACUAGCCGUUGGAUUCCUUGAGGAUUUAGUGGCGCAGCUAACGCAUUAAGUUGACCGCCUGGGGAGUACGGCCGCAAGGUUAAAACUCAAAUGAAUUGACGGGGCCCGCACAAGCGGUGGAGCAUGUGGUUUAAUUCGAAGCAACGCGAAGAACCUUACCAGGCCUUGACAUCUACAGAACUUUCCAGAGAUGGAUGGGUGCCUUCGGGAACUGUAAGACAGGUGCUGCAUGGCUGUCGU